UACGUAGGGUGCGAGCGUUAAUCGGAAUUACUGGGCGUAAAGCGUGCGCAGGCGGUUCGUUGUGUCGGUGGUGAAAUCCCCGGGCUCAACCUGGGAACUGCAUUUGUGACUGCAUGGCUAGAGUACGGUAGAGGGGGAUGGAAUUCCGCGUGUAGCAGUGAAAUGCGUAGAUAUGCGGAGGAACACCGAUGGCGAAGGCAAUCCCCUGGACCUGUACUGACGCUCAUGCACGAAAGCGUGGGGAGCAAACAGG
rnacentral:rRNA from 1 species